AGGGCUGGAGAAGGAUCUCUGCUCCACUGUGGUUCUCCAUGGGCUGAGAACCACAUGGGCUACUCCAGUGCCUUGAGAACCUCUUGCCGCUCCUUCUUCAUGGACUCUACCGAGGUGUCUGCAGGGCUGUUUCUGAUUCUCUCACUCCUCUCUCUCAGUGCUGCCAUGCAGCAUUUUUGCCCUUUCUCAAAUAUGUUUUCCCAGAGGUGCUUCCAUCUUGGCUGAGGAACUGCACCAUACCCUGUGGUGGCUCAAUUGGAACUGCCUGGAGCCAGCAGUUUCCAGCCAUCCCACAGCUCCUCUUGCCAGUGCCUGGACACCAGCACUGGGCAAGUGUGGCUGAAUUCACCCAGGCCGAUGGACACCUGUGGUCUAGGCAGAGAUUCUGCUCCUAUUUUUUGGCCCAUCCCACGGAGUCACUUGCUGUUCUUUGAAGUGCAGGACACAGGAGUUUUCCUUCACCCUUAGGGAAGAGGAUGGUGUGAAGCUGUAUCCCCUGUGGCCACAGAAUGGCCACUGGGCUGUGUUCAG
rnacentral:lncRNA from 1 species